CCUUCGGGUUGUAAAGCACUUUCAGUAGGGAGGAAGGUAGUGUAGUUAACACCUGCAUUAUUUGACGUUACCUACAGAAGAAGCACCGGCUAACUCCGUGCCAGCAGCCGCGGUAAUACGGAGGGUGCGAGCGUUAAUCGGAAUUACUGGGCGUAAAGACGCAUGCAGGCGGCCUGUUAAGUCAGAUGUGAAAGACCCGGGGCGUUAACCUCGGAAUUGCAUUUGAAACUAGGCAGGCUAGAGUCUUGUAGAGGGGGGUAGGAAGUUUCAGGUGUAGCGGUGAAAUGCGUAGAGAUCUGAAGGAAUACCAGUGGCGAAGGCGGCCCCCUCGGACAAAGACUGACGCUCAGAUGCGAAAGCGUGGGGAGCAAACAGGAUUAGAUACCCUGGUAG
rnacentral:rRNA from 1 species